CAUUAGUCUGGCAAUGGGCCUAACUCCCCUUAUACACUACUAAAAUCAACAUGUUUCCCUAGAACGCCUAACGCGUUCCUGGUAAGACCAAUGAUGAACACCUCACACACGUCUUUUUUUUUUCACCGCCAACUAUGUGACCGUCAUGUGCUUACGUGAAUGAAAAAAGGACAAAACUUAAUUGUUUAAUCUACUUUCCUUCCCCGUCCAAAGCUGACUACACGCCCAC
rnacentral:lncRNA from 1 species